GUUCCCCUGGGAAAGUUGAAAAGAACUUUGAAGAGAGAGUUCAAGAGGACGUGAAACCACUGGUGGCGAAGCGGAUAGAGUUGAUUAAGCUGGUAGUAAUCAGCAUUGAGCGUGUUGCUGCUGCUGUGUGUGUGUUGCGCGGUCCGCGUAGCAUUUCAUGGCUGGCUGGCGCGGCUCGGUGUGCAUUUGCGAUCGGCUAACGCUGAGGCUCUUGGCUGCCCCUUCUGAAGUGCUGCGUGUUGCCCACCCUCGGGUGGUGUCUUGCGCGGUGCGGAGGUUGUUUGUGGCGGCUGAGUGAGUGAAGUGCAUCGCCUUUGCGCAUGUGUUCGCUAGCGUGCGUUUGGUAGUAGCGGUGACUUGUCACUUGUUGCUGCUAUAGCGUACGUGUUGUGGGCGCGUGCUUGCGUGUGCAUCUUCGGCGUGACCGUCAACCACCUAUCCGACCCGUCUUGAAACACGGACCAAGAAGUGUAGUAUUUGCGCGAGUCAUUGGGUGCAAAACCUAAAGGCGAAAUGAAAGUAAAGGUGGCCUUGUGCUGCUGAUAUGUGAUCCGUGUGUUUUCGAAUGCGCGGCGCAACAUAGCCCCAUGCCGGCUGCUUGCAGCGGUGUGGCGGUAGAGCGUAAAUACUGCGACCCGAAAGAUGGUGAACUAUGCCUGAGCAGGAUGAAGCCAGAGGAAACUCUGGUGGAAGUCCGAAGCGGUUCUGACGUGCAAAUCGAUCGUCUGACUUGGGUAUAGGGGCGAAAGACUAAUCGAACCAUCUAGUAGCUGGUUCCCUUC
rnacentral:rRNA from 1 species